UACAGAGGGGGCAAGCGUUGUUCGGAAUUACUGGGCGUAAAGGGCGCGUAGGCGGCCUUCUAAGUCGAACGUGAAAUCCCCGGGCUCAACCCGGGAACUGCGUCCGAUACUGGAAGGCUUGAAUCCGGGAGAGGGAUGCGGAAUUCCAGGUGUAGCGGUGAAAUGCGUAGAUAUCUGGAGGAACACCGGUGGCGAAGGCGGCAGUCCUGGGACCGGUAUUGACGCUGAGGCGCGAAAGCCAGGGGAGCAAAGCGGG
rnacentral:rRNA from 1 species